GCUCCAGUAGUGUAGCGGCCAAGCAUCAGGGACUCUCGAUCCCUGGUCCCGGGUUCAAAUCCCGGCUGGAGCA
rnacentral:tRNA from 1 species